rnacentral:rRNA from 1 species
CACGAACGCUGGCGGCGUGCCUAAUACAUGCAAGUAGAACGCAGAGGUCAGGUGCUUGCACUGGACUGAUGAGUUGCGAACGGGUGAGUAACGCGUAGGUAACCUACCUGAUAGCGGGGGAUAACUAUUGGAAACGAUAGCUAAUACCGCAUAAAAGUGAAUGACCCAUGUCAUUGACUUGAAAGAAGCAAACGCUUCACUAUGAGAUGGACCUGCGUUGUAUUAGCUAGUUGGUAGGGUAAAGGCCUACCAAGGCGACGAUACAUAGCCGACCUGAGAGGGUGAACGGCCACACUGGGACUGAGACACGGCCCAGACUCCUACGGGAGGCAGCAGUAGGGAAUCUUCGGCAAUGGGGGGAACCCUGACCGAGCAACGCCGCGUGAGUGAAGAAGGUUUUCGGAUCGUAAAGCUCUGUUGUUAGAGAAGAACAGUGAUGGGAGUGGAAAGUCCAUCAUUUGACGGUAACUAACCAGAAAGGGACGGCUAACUACGUGCCAGCAGCCGCGGUAA